rnacentral:tRNA from 1 species
GUGGGCGUAGCUCAGUUGGUAGAGCACAGGAUUGUGAUUCCUGUUGUCGUGGGUUCGAGACCCAUCGUCCACCCCA